rnacentral:misc_RNA from 1 species
UUUUCUGGGGCAACUACUUUUACAUUCUUGGGUUUAGAUUGUUGAGAAACGGGGGAUGAGGAAGAUCCAGGAUCAAAGGACGACAUCUCGACCACGGCGCUAUCGUGAGCGACGACAGGACGGUACUCGCGACCACCGCGGGAUUGGAAUUCGUCUUCCAUAGCGCCUUCUACGUCUUCAUUGUCCAUUGUUGAAGAUAUAUAUUUCCUUCCUCAGCAAAGAAAUAUAGAUCCAAUUCGAAAUGAAACGAAAGGAAAAUGAUUUCUUAAUAGAUAAUAAAUGAAAUGCCGUAACAGAGUAAUCUCAGAAACUCAGAUUGAGAAUGAAUAUUAAAUUGUUUGAGACUAGAGAGAGAGAAAAAGACGUGAUUUUGAAAAGAGGGAAGGAGUAAAAAG